CUCUAGCCCUGAUAGAAGCGGCAUCCUUUUUAUCCGCUUUUUUGCGGAUAAAAAGAUAUAGCGAAUAGCAGGAAAUAGC
rnacentral:sRNA from 1 species